rnacentral:lncRNA from 1 species
GUAUAAAAAAGGGUCAGGACACAUACCUAUUUUAAAAAGUACACAUACAGUAUAUACACAUACACAUCACAUUUUACAACCUUUUUUAUUUAAUUAAACUUCAGUCAUAAUAAAACUAUUUAGAAUAGUGUUGACAUACAUUUACAUUACAAUAUGCAAACUCCAAUCUAUGACUGAACUAGAGAUACAUCUGUGCAUCCAUCUAAAUAUCUGAAUACUUUUCAAGUCCAAUGAUUUAGAAAACAGUGGCAAGUGGACACUAUAAUCACACAUUGAUCCUUAGAGUACAGGAAAUAGGCUAUUUCAAUUGGAAAAUUACAUUAAGUCUUACAGGUCAGAAAUCAAGUAAAUGAAAACACCAUGGUUUUUAUUUUCAACAAUUAUUAUCUUAAUUUUAUUAAAAAAUAACAUUAUAAAAUGUAGUUGGAGAUGGCAGUUGUACAUUUUUACAAUGCUUAGCAAACAUUUUAGGAUCAUAAGCAUCCAUUUUAAUAUGGAUUACUUCUGAAACACCUUGCUAUAAAAUGAAAAUACCAUUAUUUGUUUUUAAAAAGGCAUUUCAAGAUUAGUUAAUGGAAAGCAGCAACCCUAUGAAUUGUGUGAUCAAACUCCACAAAUAAAAUAUUUUAAAGCCAAUUUCAAAAUAAUGUUAUUUCAAAGAUAAGCUGGCUCACUUUAAAAUUCUUGUCCCACCGUCCAAAUCUAAAAUGUAAUUUAUGGAUUAUCCUUUUAUAUAUUGGUUCUAAAAUAUCUUUUGGCAUGUAUAAACUUUAUGAGCAUCUUACAUCUUCUACUGUGAGCUUUCAAUAAAAUAAGGUCAUUUAAAGGCUUAAUUUGGUGUAUUUCCUAAUGUUAUAUGCAUCUCCUUUUAUCUCUUCCUUACUAAAAUGUACUACUUGUUUUCAUUCCUCAGAGGUGAUCCAAAAUAUUUAUUUAAGCAAAGAUAAAAGCCAUCUCUCAUGUAAAUGGUUACCCAAUUCACCCUACUUGAGACUGAAUUUCACUUUUACUAAUGGACCCUAUUUACAUUAGAAAAAAAACCAGCAAUGACUUUUUAAGAUCAAGAUGCUUAUUCAGAGAUCAUAGUUGGAUGUUUGUAUGGGAGAGUUUCUGUUCUAUUUUCUGCUUUGUCCAUCAUAAGCAAUAAGGACUCACCCUCAGAGAAGAGAAGCAACCUCCAAGUUUACCGUACAGAUGAACAGAAAAAUGAGAUCAAAAGAAGGAAGGUCAUUUGAAAAAUGAGAUCAAAAGAAGGAAGGUCAUUUGCCACAAAGGCAGAGUAGAGGCUCCUGAAAAUCUUUUCCAACAUCCAUAUCACUAUACCAAACUGCCUUUAUGAAGGAUACAUUUCUGAAUGAAGAAUAGAUACGGAAUGACUAGAAGCUCCAUAUUAGAAUUAGAUUUUGAAACCAAAACCUAGCUGUAGAAGGACAUUAGGAAAUAUCCAUGAUUUCAGAAUGGAUUUUUCUGUUCAUUUCUAACCCCAAUUAGAAUUAGAAUAGCAAAAUAUGCUACAAAGUUUCUCUAGAUACCUUAAUGCUCAGUGAAAUGUGUCUGUCUAGUUCUUACUAAAAGCAAAUACUUCAUUGUGGACAUAUACUUGUUCAUAUUUUCAUUUUUUCACAAAAGUAAUCCUUUUUAAAGAGCUAGUUUACUUGUUCUAUUAUUGUAAUAAAAAAUCAAUUUGCCUCUGACUCAUUAAAAGUGGCAGUGUGGCAAGCACAUUAGAUUAUAAAACCAUAUCUAAGAAGAUCACUUCACUAGCACUGGGCAUGCAGGCCCCAUUUAUCACAGAGCCUGUUUUAUUACAGACGUGGUUUCUACCAAAGAGGUGCAGAGCUUUCAGUAUAAUUGAGAAUCUGCAGACAUAUGAGAUCAUUUUAAUUAAAAGACAAUUUUGAAAUAUUACAAGAGAGAACUAUUAGAUACAUGGCACCAAUUUCAAAGGUGAUUUCAUGGUUUAUCAUCUCAGUGUAAGUUUUCCAUAAUUUAUAAUAAAGGAUAUUUGAACACAUAUGGGAUAAAAUAAGCAAAGAUAUAUUUAUUUAUAUAUCUACAUAUAUGUAAUUUUUAAUCUCAAAGCAGAUAUGACAUAGUUAAUGUCCAAGCAGCUAGCAUCCAAAAUAAUGUUGAGCAUUUUUCUAUUAUUCAUGCGUUUUAUUAUACUUUAGUGUUUCAAAAAUUGGCAAUCCAUGUAACUCUCAAUGAACCAAUACAUUUAAUAGACAGGAUACACUCUUCCCUCUUUACCAUGUCAGAUUUCAUAACCUGCUAAGUUUGUUUACUUAGCUCUAUUGAUUAUUAUCAUGUCCUUCAGUGUUAAAAUCCAACUACUAGCUUUGAGAACAAAACUAUAUUUAAGGAACUCUCAAGCUAGGAAAUAGCAUUUUCACAUGCCCAAGGAAACUGAAACCACUGGAUAAAUAAAUCAAGCUAUUAGACUGAGAAGUAUCAAUCUUUUCCAUCUAUAUACCACCUACACCUAAAACUCAUGUUAACCUAUGUCUAUUUUCCUCAAAACAAUCAAUGCCACACACUGAGCUAGGUCCUUUCAGCAAUUAAACUAUCUCUAAUUUUAUUACUAAUCAUUUGUACCACGGGGUAUCUGAGGGACUGAAUAAGUUAAUGCAGCUUCCCAAUGCACUUGGAUUGUAUCUUAAAGAAAUGGCCUGCACUUGAGGAAGCACAGCACGUUGGACAAGAAAGGGACCCUAGAAAUCAGCUGAGCUCUUUGGUAUAAAAAAAGAGCAAAGGCCACGUACUGAAACUGUAUGUAGAUUAGCUGUGAAGACGAGCUACAAUCCAACUACACUAGAAAUUCUUGGACCUUUGAAAUCAAAGGAAAGCUAGCAGUUAAUUUUUCAUGCCCUUUUGUAUAACUACAUUGAAAAUGGUCAGCUUAUGGUUAUAGUACAUGGCACUGGUGUUAUCACAAGGAUUUAGAAUGAAAAGCUUUGGAUUCUUUUAUGUAUUUGUUCAUGAUCUGCAAGAAGAACCUUAUCAAAGUAAAAACUCUAAGAAAAAUCAUUCUUUGAUUUUAGUCAGAAGUUCUUUCAACUAUUAAAAAAUUGACCAGGGGAAUUAACAUAAUGUCUUACAAAUUCUGGCUUAAAAGUACAAUUUACAUAUUGGGAAUUCUGCCGAUUUCACUCUUAACAUGACAAACGCCAUCACACAUUUUAAAUAGCAAACUGACAUGCAUAACUACAUAAAGCUCUCUUUUUGUUUAUUUUUAAUCCAUAAACCUUAAUGAAUAUAGAGUGCCUGAUUUUAAAUAAAUGGUUCCUUUAAACAGAUAAUGGUGAUUAUACUAUAAAUAAAGUUUCCUGAUUCCUUGCAUUCUUGUAAAAGCCAAGUAACCUAGUUUUUCAAUACCCAUUUAGCAUGUGGGUAUGGUUUUCUAACCUUAGAUGCUAAAUAUCAUAAUUUACUUUUUACUCUCUCCCAUGGUGGAAAUUGAAAAUGGGACCUUUGUACAUUCAGCAUUUUCUCUCAAGUCCAUUUACACAACUGUGUGAUAGUUUUAGAAUAUAAGCCUGUCAUAAUAUAUUUUGCAAACACAAUUUACAUGCUAUAGAAUGGUCAAGAGAAAAGGCCAACUUCACGAGGGGUGCCAAAGAUCCUCCUGGGAACAUUCUUCUGCUGGGCAGUGUUCAUAGAUUCUUCCUGGGACGAUGCUGAGAGUCUUCCCUAUGCCAAAGCAUUAUGGUUCUAAUUCAGCACUGACUCCCCUGCAUAGAUAGAACCAGCCAGCCACCAUGUCCAUGAAUCUAGUGGGAUAUGGGUGUGCAUGUCUGUGUCAGAAGAGAUCAGGACCAGACCCUUCUUUUUAAUCAGGAACUACAAGACUGAACACCUGUUCCAACCCCUCUGUUCCCACAGCUUCCCACACCUGACUGUAGCUGAUACAACUGAGAUUUUACUCUUUUUUUUUUUUUAAGAUAGUUUUCUAGAUCCCUUUUAGAAAAAAAUGUAUUCCCCCUACUAUCCCGGCUGACAUCUACUUGCAGAGACCAGAACGACUACAGGCUUCAGGUGGUAACUGUAGAGUAAAGCCGUGUGGUUUCUCAGCACUUAGACAUUUCUGGAGCCGCAAAAAUGGUGCCUGCAGACUGGGACACAUGCUUUCUCGCCCAUCAUCACUUGCAAGUUCUGAAUGAGACCACAAGACCCCCAGGUCCUGAAAUAGAGUCCUGCUCCAUGCAAGUUCUUCUUUAUAGAUGAUUAAUGCAUUGCCAGUUUCACAGUAAAACACUCUGUUCCAAUUUCUGAAUCAUCCAUAUAAAGUCAUGGGUAGCGAGAACAGAUAAAGAUGAGGUCUGUCACUUCAGACAGAAUAGGAAUUUGUUUAAAGCUGCUUCAUUAAUGAAGCAAACAUGAACUGUUACCAGCCUAGAGGGAAAGGGGGAAAAAAAGAGAGAGAGAUUAUGGUGUGUUUUCUUUCUGCCUUCUUUUUUCAAUAGCUAAAUUCAUACAAAGCCCCAGAAUGAGUAACAGAUUUAUAAUCUGUUACACUUCACCUUAAAGAA